UGCCCGGUAGCUCAGUGGUAGAGCAGGUGACUGUUAAUCACUUGGUCGCUGGUUCGAUCCCAGCCCGGGCAGCCA
rnacentral:tRNA from 2 species